rnacentral:rRNA from 1 species
GAUGAACGCUGGCGGCGUGCCUAAUACAUGCAAGUCGAGCGAACAGACGAGGAGCUUGCUCCUCUGACGUUAGCGGCGGACGGGUGAGUAACACGUGGAUAACCUACCUAUAAGACUGGGAUAACUUCGGGAAACCGGAGCUAAUACCGGAUAAUAUAUUGAACCGCAUGGUUCAAUAGUGAAAGACGGUUUUGCUGUCACUUAUAGAUGGAUCCGCGCCGCAUUAGCUAGUUGGUAAGGUAACGGCUUACCAAGGCGACGAUGCGUAGCCGACCUGAGAGGGGGAUCGGCCACACUGGAACUGAGACACGGUCCAGACUCCUACGGGAGGCAGCAGUAGGGAAUCUUCCGCAAUGGGCGAAAGCCUGACGGAGCAACGCCGCGUGAGUGAUGAAGGUCUUCGGAUCGUGAAACUCUGUUAUUAGGGAAGAACAAAUGUGUAAGUAACUAUGCACGUCUUGACGGUACCUAAUCAGAAAGCCACGGCUAACUACGUG